CCUUACUGCUAUUGGGGUGGGACUAAGACAUGCGAGUCGAGCGUCUCUAGCUAUGUUGAGACGCGGCAGACGGCUCAGUAACACGUGGCUAACCUACCCUCAGGACGAGGAUAAACCCGGGAAACUGGGGCUAAUACUCGAUAGGUGAGAAUGUCUGGAAUGAUUUCUCAUUCAAAGGGCUUUAGAAACAUGCUUCUAAAGUCGCCUGGGGAUGGGGCCGCGUCCGAUCAGGUUGUUGGUGAGGUAACGGCUCACCAAGCCUAUAACCGGUACGGGCCGUGAGAGCGGUAGCCCGGAGAUGGGUACUGAGACAAGGACCCAGGCCCUACGGGGCGCAGCAGUCGCGAAAACUCCGCAAUGCACGAAAGUGUGACGGGGCUACCCCGAGUGCCAUCCGCUGAGGAUGGCUUUUCUUUGGUGUAACUAGCCGGGGGAAUAAGGAGAGGGCAAGACUGGUGUCAGCCGCCGCGGUAAUACCAGCUCUCCGAGUGGUAGGGAUGAUUAUUGGGCUUAAAGCGUCCGUAGCCGGCUUAGCAAGUCUCCUGUUAAAUUCAGCGACCUAAUCGUUGAGCCGCGGGAGAUACUACUAGGCUAGGAGGCGGGAGAGGUCGACGGUACUUCUGGGGUAGGGGUGAAAUCCUAUAAUCCCGGGAGGACCACCAGUGGCGAAGGCUGUUGACUAGAACGCGCUCGACGGUGAGGGACGAAAGCUGGGGGAGCGAACCGGAUUAGAUACCCGGGUAGUCCCAGCCGUAAACGAUGCGGGCUAGGUGUUGGGGUGGCUACGUGCCACUUCAGUGCCGCAGGGAAGCCAUUAAGCCCGCCGCCUGGGGAGUACGGCCGCAAGGCUGAAACUUAAAGGAAUUGGCGGGGGAGCACCACAAGGCGUGAAGCUUGCGGUUC
rnacentral:rRNA from 1 species